rnacentral:lncRNA from 1 species
AUGGUUUUUUCUUUCAAUUUCUUUUGGCUUGGUCGCUGGUACAGUUUGCAGUUUGCACUGCUGUUGGAGUUGUGUUGCCUUCAUCAUCCCUUCAAUAAGGGUUAUAUCAUGGCUAUUUCAGGUGAAAAUGUUAAAGAUUGUGUAUUAGUAUUUGUUUUUGUUAAAUUGAAAAGGAAAAUGGAGUGUGAAAAUUCCAUUACUGAUGGAAUGGUAAUGAUGCAAGACAGAAUCAUUGUUUUUGUGUUGCCUUCAUAGUCAUUGCUUUCUGUGCUAGUUUUUCUUUUUAAUUUUUGGUUUACUAAAGAAUGGUAA